GAUGAAGAACGUAGCAAAAUGCGAUAAGUAAUGUGAAUUGCAGAAUUCAGUGAAUCAUCGAAUCUUUGAACGCACAUUGCGCCCGCUGGUAUUCCGGCGGGCAUGCCUGUUCGAGCGCCAUUUCAACCCUCAAGCCCCCGGGUUUGGUGUUGGGGAUCGGCUCUGCCCUUCUGGGCGGUGCCGCCCCCGAAAUACAUUGGCGGUCUCGCUGCAGCCUCCAUUGCGUAGUAGCUAACACCUCGCAACUGGAACGCGGCGCGGCCAUGCCGUAAAACCCCAACUUCUGAAUGUUGACCUCGGAUCAGGUAGGAAUACCCGCUGAACUUAAGCAUAUCAAUAAGGGGAGGA
rnacentral:misc_RNA from 1 species